UUAAGUUCAGCGGGUAUCCCUACCUGAUCCGAGGUCAACCAUAGAAAAUUGGGGGUUCUGGCGGGUGUCCCUCCGGACCCUAUAGCGAGGAGUAUUACUACGCUUAGAGCCAGAGGGCACCGCCACUGAUUUUAAGGGCUGCCAGAAGGCAUGCCCCAACGCCAAGCUAAGCUUGAGGGUUUAAAUGACGCUCGAACAGG
rnacentral:misc_RNA from 1 species